UUUCCGUAGGUGAACCUGCGGAAGGAUCAUUAUCGUACAAAAUGUGAGGGGCAUGCGAGGGCUGUCGCUGACCCAAAAUCGUGCCAGCCCGAGUGUGUCCUCCUGCAUAAUAAUCCAUCUCACCCUUUGUGCAUCACCGCGUGGGCACCCUUCGGGAUCAUCUCGGAGGGGGGCUCGCGUUUUCACACAAACCCCCCUUUUAAAAGUGUAGAAUGACCACAUUUAUGCAAUCAAUACAACUUUCAACAACGGAUCUCUUGGCUCUC
rnacentral:misc_RNA from 1 species